GGUCACCGCUAUUGGGAUUCGACUAAGCCAUGCGAGUCGAGAGGGUUUAGCCCCUCGGCGGACUGCUCAGUAACACGUGGAUAAUCUAACCUUAGGAGGAGAAUAAUCUCGGGAAACUGAGAAUAAUACUCCAUAAAUCCAAGAGGCUGGAAUGCACUUGGAUUGAAAGCUACGGCGCCUAAGGAUGAGUCUGCGGACUAUCAGGUUGUAGUCAGGGUAAUGACCUGACUAGCCUACAACGGAUACGGGUUGUGAGAGCGAUAACCCGGAGAUGAUAUCUGAGACACGAUAUCGGGCCCUACGGGGCGCAGCAGGCGCGAAACCUUCACACUGCGCGAAAGCGCGAUGAGGGGAUCCCAAGUGCUAACUCGAAAGAGUUGGCUGUUUACCUGUCUAAAACGCAGGUAGAGUAAGGGCUGGGUAAGACGGCUGCCAGCCGCCGCGGUAAUAGCUGCAGCCCGAGUGGUGACCGCUAUUAUUGGGCCUAAAACGUCCGUAGCCGGCCUGGUAAAUGCCUGGGUAAAUCGUUUGGCUUAACCAAACGAAUUCCGGGUAGACUGCGAGGCUUGAGACUGGGCGAGGCUAGAGGUACUCCUAGGGUAGAGGUGAAAUUCUGUAAUCCUAGGGGGACCGCCAGUGGCGAAAGCGUCUAGCCAGAACAGGUCUGACGGUGAGGAACGAAGCCCUGGGGCGCAAACGGGAUUAGAUACCCCGGUAGUCCAGGGUGUAAACGCUGCUCGCUUGAUGUUAGGCAGGCUUCGAGCCUGCUUAGUGUCGGAGAGAAGUUGUUAAGCGAGCUGCCUGGGAAUUACGGUCGCAAGGCUGAAACUUAAAGGAAUUGGCGGGGGAGCACAGCAACGGGAGGAGCGUGCGGUUU
rnacentral:rRNA from 1 species